rnacentral:rRNA from 1 species
GCCUACGGGGGGCAGCAGUGGGGGAUAUUGCACAAUGGGGGGAACCCUGAUGCAGCGACGCCGCGUGGGCGAUGGAGCGCCUCGGCGCGUAAAGCCCUAUCAGCAGGGAAGAAGAUGACGGUACCUGACUAAGAAGCCCCGGCUAAAUACGUGCCAGCAGCCGCGGUAAUACGUAUGGGGCAAGCGUUAUCCGGAUUUACUAGGUGUAAAGGGAGCGUAGACGGCUGUGCAAGUCUGAAGUGAAAUGCCGGGGCUCAACCCCGGAACUGCUUUGGAAACUGUACAGCUAGAGUGCAGGAGGGGUG